rnacentral:rRNA from 1 species
CUACCAACUACAAAGUAUCAGAAUGUGUAUUGCGAUGUAACGCAUCUAUAUACAACUUUCAGCAACGGAUCUCUUGGCUCUCGCAUCGAUGAAGAACGCAGCGAAAUGCGAUAAGUAAUGUGAAUUGCAGAAUUCAGUGAAUCAUCGAAUCUUUGAACGCACCUUGCGCUCCUUGGUAUUCCGAGGAGCAUGCCUGUUUGAGUGUCAUGAAAUUCUCAACCUACAAAUCUUUGCGGGUUUGUAGGCUUGGACUUGGAGGUUUUUGUUGGCUUCUCGCAAGUCGGCUCCUCUUAAAUGCAUUAGCCUGUUUCCUUGCGGAUCGGCUCUCGGUGUGAUAAUUAUCUGCGCCGCGACCGUGAAGCGUUUGGCUGGCUUCUAAUCGUCUCGCUCAAGAGACAGCUUCUUAUGACCUCUGACCUCAAAUCAGGUAGGACUACCCGCUGAACUUAAGCAUAUCAAUAAAGCGGAGG